rnacentral:lncRNA from 1 species
AAAAUGUCACCUGAUGUUAGUUGUCCCUCACUGAUUCAAGUAAUUUCCAUUAUUCAGGUGGACCUGGCUGUUGGUGGAGAUCCCUAGACUGCAUGGGGCCAUGGGCAUGAUCUGGAGACACAGUAGGUCAUCCUCAGAAUUUACACUCUCUCUCCUUUUGUGCCCCCAUGGACCAAGUUAAGAAGGUGUAGGCUUCAAAUCUGAAGAUUGGUCACCACAAAAUUCAAAGAGGCAAGGUCUUUGUUGCUCAGGAUGGAGUGUAGUGGUGCCAUAGCUCACUGUAACCUUGAAUUUCUGGGCUACUGGCAUACACCACCAUGCUUGGAUUCAGGCCACAACACCCCUGAGUUUACCGGUUUUGGUCUCUUCCUUGUGACCUUCGGCUCCAGGAUGCAGCACAGCUCCUCACUGCACUAUUUAUCAGAAUGUUGCUCUGCAUGCUUGAAAGUUUCCCCAAACAGAGGUACAUAAAAACAAACAGAGGCAAAACACAAAUCCCAUCAGCCCUG